AGAGACACUGCUAUUCUCGGGAAUGACUUCAAGCUGGGCAUGACAUCAAUUCAGCCCGUAUCAGCGCGACCACAGCCUCCAAAUAUGCAGAACUGUGAAACUGAAACUGCCAGAUAUCAACAUGUUUUCUUUGCUCAAGAGCAAGGGGCCCUUUGAAUGGAAAGGCAACUGAAAACGACUUUGAUGAGCAGAAUGAGCGCGUGUUCUAUUAGCCCUCUACAUGGAGGCGGAGCUCCAGUGAUUGUGAGAGUUCUCAGUAUUUCCAGUCUUAUCUGCUCAGGCUGGGGGAGGGGGCUUAAUGGAAAAGAUAUAUACAACAGGAAGCAGAGGAUGUGAGUUAGCGGAAAGGCCGCAGCGGAGUCUCCAGUGAAGGCACGGCACGACACGGUGCGCCACGCGACUCAUGGGCCGCGCUGAACCCAACCGGCACUGGCAACCUGGUCACUCUGCGGUCCAGGGUGAGUAAACAACCAGCCCCAGCCGCUACCAGAUCAAAUAUGCCAGGUCCAGGUGGGCCGGCAGGAGAGGUGCAUCAUGAGCACAGAGAGUGGGGCUUUGGUGCCUCCAGGUGGAUUCUGGGUGACGGGACGCAGAUCUCUGGGGAGGGCACGACAGAGAGACCGAGGGCGGGAGUGGACCGCCGUGCUGGGCUCGCCAUUUCGGCUCGCUGGCAUCCCAAACUGGUGCUUGUGUUCCCAAGGACACUAACCCUCCCAAAGCUGUGAUUCCUGCGGCCUGUCUCGCUCUAAAACUGCACUUUAUUUCUGUGUGUGUGUGUGUGUGUCUGUGUGUGUGUGUGUUUGUGUGUGUUUGUGUAUGAGUGUGUGUGUUUGUGUGUGUGUGAGUGUGUGAGUGUGUGUGUUGUGCGUGAGUGUGUGUUUGUGUGUUAGUGCGUGUGUGUGCUUGAGUGUGUGUAUGCGCACGUCCAUGUGUGUGCUUAUGUGUGUGUGUCUGUGUUUGUGUGUGUGUGUGAGUGUGUGUGUUUGUGUGUUAGUACGUGUGUGUGCUUGAGUGUGUGUAUGCGCACGUCCAUGUGUGUGUUUAUGUGUGUGUGUGUGUGUGUGUGUGUGCGCGCGUGUUAGCAUGCGCAUGUGUGUGCUUAUGUGUGUGUGUGUGUUUCUGUGUCUGUGUGUUUGUGUGUGUGUGUGUGUGUGUGUGUGUGAGGGUGUGCGCUGGAGAGAAAGGAAGAGCAUGUUUUUGCCAGUAUCCUUUUUCAGCCUGUGUGUUUCUGGUUGAACCGUACCAUGCCCUGCUGCCUGGACUCUGACCUGUUGGCCGAGACUCACGUCCAUCAGCAUGCCGCUCACUGUCAUGGUGAAUGAACCGCCACAAAAAGACUCCACCCAGGGAAAAUUCUGCCCACAUUCUUUAUGAGGAACAUUUCUUUUGCUUCAGUGCAAGGGAGAAAUAACCUUCUCUGCUGAGGGGACGCACUGACUGCCCUGUGCGUGUAGGCUUCUGGGCCCUGAGAUACGGAAGGAGUGGGAAAAAAUGACGGUAUGUCGCUCACCUAGUGACCACCCUCAACUCCCUGGGCAAGCGGUGACCGCAGCAACUGUGGCUCCUCACCCAUUGGCUACUGCGGUGACCAUGGCUCUUCACCUAUUGGCUCUUCCGGUGUUAUUGUGACAGUUUGUUUGCAGUCAUGUGUCGCAAGGAGUGGCCUCUGGCCCGUAGCUCAUCUCUUAAUCACUGUGAGAAAGUUCGACGGGACCGUUAUUGGCUUGUCAGAGCUUGCGUUCGUGCUGCUGUACUAAGCAAUGGAAAACGCCUCAACUGUGCGAGGUCUCUCAAAACAGAGCGGUGGCUUGCCUGGUGCGUGAUCUGUCCCCCGUGAUCGGGUUCUCGGUUGUGAACCACUUUGAUCUUAAAACAAAGAAGCUGCUCGUGGCAACUUUAAUACGGUGCCAUUCUGAUUACGCCUCCCCUGUGUGGUAUAGUGGACAAAUCUGUCAACAAAUCUGAAAAACAAGAUGCAGUUUUUCCAAAAUAACAUAAUUUGGUACUUGCUUAAUGCUCCAGACAGAGCCCAUGUUGGGGCAAAUGAAUUCAGAGCAGUGGGCUGGCUAUCGGUAAAACUCAGGGUGGAGCAGCUAAAACUCAGUCACAUGUGUAAGAUCAUUAACAGUACAGCACCUGAAUACCUGAGCUUACAAAUAGCUAUGGUUGGUUCUCAACCACAACACAUGUAGUACAUGUAACUGUAGAGCACCCAGAUGAAAUAGUAUGGCAUCCAGCCCAUUCUUUUACACUGAUAUUGUAGUUUGGAACAGCCGUCCAAUGCAGGCUAAGCUGUCCCAGGCCAGGGGUAUCUUCAAAAGACAGGUUAUGGGUUUUCUAUGGAGGAAGUUGGAUGCUGGGCUGAGAUAUUCUGUAAUUUUAUGAUUACAGAAGUUGUGAAAAUUACUGGUUGUGAUUUGUUAAGCAUUUAGGGUUUUCUGUUUUGGUCCUACUUAUUGAUGCAUGUGUGCUGAGUAAAAUGUUUUUGAUGAAUGCUAUCAUAAUUAUGUGGAGGAUUUUUUAUAUUUCAUUGAGGGCCAUAUUGGAAAGAAGUGUUUAAUGCUUUGACAUGUUACCUCUGGGCUGUACAAUGUGUACAUAAUUUAACCCAAAAAUCAAAUGAAAUCAAAUCAUUGAGCAGGAACCUUCUUUUCUGGGAAAGAACCUAUCCCUAGAGAACAAUACUAUCAUAAAUCAUUGAGUCAGACACAAACCGCGGCCAACGCCUGGUUAUGAAAGAGUCUGCUUAUUUGGCUCAUAAAACUCUCCCACUGAGUCCUGUCAACAACUCCAGAUUUAACCAGUCCUAGACCUCUUUUUGACAAAAGAUGGGGCUUUUCAGGGAAGGUCCAUUUUAGGCAGGAUUGCUCUGUUUUUUUAACACAGUAGUAUAACCUCUCCAUGAUCUGUUCACAGACAGGAGUUACCAGUUUCUCAAGAGCGCAAAUGGCUACACCGUCAGACUGGAGGGAACCGUCUCUUAUCGACCGUGUCACUAACAUUAGAGUGACUUUGCCCAAGGCCUGCCCCUCAGCACUUUCACAUGAGCUCUCAUGCCCACACUCUUGCUCGGGGGGUAUGGGUGGUGGAGGGAAGGAUUUGCAUGGCGUAGCACCCAGCAUUUGGGUGUGGCAAAUUAACCAGGAAGGCGAAGAUUAGAUAUUGAGAAAGAACCUCAUGCGGCAUGGUCAAGUUCACAGUUCAGCUGAAUUGUGAACCCUGAUCUGGUACAGCGAGGUCAUGUCUGAUAGACAGGGUGCUUAGUCUGAAGCUGCACACUCUUGUUGACUCCAAAAACAUUCUUAUUAUUAAAAAUACCAAUGUUUCAACACUGCUGUGCCUUUGGCAGUAGUUUGUCAUCAGGGAUUCUUUGUCGAAAAAGAAUACCAGAUGAGGACAUGCAGGUGUCAAGAUGGCGCUUGUAACAGUAAACAUUCUUCAACUGCCUGUCUAUCAGGAAAACAUGGAAAACUUACCAAAACACCAAUUUACUCGUAUAUACUGGCUGAAUGUGUUUUAUAAUGAUGCAAAGAUCACUAUAGAUCAGAUUGUCCUCUCUUUAUCUUCCCAUAUAAUGAAUUACGGAAGAACAAUAGUAGAUAUUAGACUAUUGUUAUUUCUUCCUUUAGUACAUAUUGUUAAAUGUCACAUUACUGGGUUUAAGAGCAGGGAUAAGGAUUUAAAUAUUACUUUAAAUAAUUACCCCAGGGGACAUUCAGGCUUCAUAAGGGGACUAUUGCACAUGCAGUAUAUGUGUGAACACUCAGAUUGUACAUCAGGAAAUGUGUUUUUAAAAUUUGACGUUUUCCAACAGCUCUGAAAUGGACAGUUUUGUCAUGCUUGAUUUAAGCUUCGCUUGUUUUUUUGCUUGAGAUCAAAGAAUCGAGUGUUUUUGUGUAAUAGAGCAGAACAGAGCAAAGUCGUAUAGAAUUCCACGGCUAACCUGAUAGUUACCGGAUUAAGAAUCUAUGGCCGGCACCCCGAAAUCAGUCAAACGUCCUGCGAGGGGUUUGCAGGGCCGAGCGACAGGCAGGACGGCCCCCGUUGCAUUCAAGUGUCACGUUUCUCAUUCAAGCGUUUGUGACUGAGGCGCACAUAUGCACACCGACACACACACACACAUGCCCGGCCUAUUAUUCAUGCUCGCUCUUCCAUUAGAGAGAAGAGACAAUAGAAAAUUCUGGGAACUUGCAGGCACGGCCACACUGCAUGAUGUAAUCGGGUUCAAUGAUAGGGUAUCGGAUUACUCAUGUAAUCAUUAACCAAUUACAGCCGAGGGGCUACAAUUGUAGUGCGCCGCCCUGUAAUCCCGUGGCUUGUUCGUCAGGACUGGAGCCAUUGCGCAUAGAGCAGGCCCCUUUGGCCCUUUGGUUCCUUUGAGUAAUGGCUUCACUGGUGCUGUCACUCCCAAGGGGGAGAGAAGUGAAGGCACUCCCAGAACCAGAGGACCGGGGUCGAGGGUUUAUAAUGCCGAAUUCAGGGGCCCGGUUUAGCACAGGUUCUGGUCCUCAAUAAGAAGACUGGAUGGAGAGAGGGAGGGAGGGAAGGAAGGAAGGAAGCGAGAGAGAGAGACGGAAAGGAUGACGAGACAAAAACGAGUGCAAAAGCAAGGCUGAGAUGAUCGAGAAUACUGGGGAAACAAAGUGUGAAAAGGAAAGAGGUAGUGUGCCCUAUUGGUAAUGUACAGCUUUUCUGUAAGCAUGACAUUUGAGUCGAUGCAGGGCUCCCAGACAGUAUUUGGGUGUGUUGCCAGGUUAGGCAGGUUUCUGAAACCAGGAAGACAAAGUGAAAACCCCCAACAAUACAGAAGACAUUCAUAUGCUGGAGAUGUGAUUAAACAAAACAUUCUGUGCCCCAAAACCUUCAGUCGUCAGUCACAGAUAAAUCCUAAAUGUUGAGCCACCACAUCUUACUGAUGCCAAAAGUAUAAAUGUAAACUGUUAAUGUUCAAGAGGUAUUAGGAAUUAAUGACUAAACUAAAUAAACCAAAUGCUGAAAUUGCAUUUCUUAAUAACAGAAAUAUUUGAAAAUGGGUUCCAUGGGACGAAAGCUUCGGGCUGCCAAGGAAUCUUUCAUUCGAUUACAUAAAAAGAGUGCUUCUCUGGCAUUUCUCUCUUUAUUUGUUUCUUUGUUUGACAUUUGGAAGGAAAUCCAUUCACAACUAAUAGAACUGGAGUCCCAAGUUGUUGAUAAGAAAGCAAACAAACCCAUUUCAUUCAGAUUUAAGAAUGACACACUCAAACCAGAGCCUAACUAGGUCAAUGCAACGUCCUGCAUGAUCAGUUAAAGUCAGGCAUUUAUAGCUGACUGUACUGGCUGCAAAUUUGUUUUUAAAGAUUAUGCCAUCUUUAUAGUUAAGGGCAGGGCAAAGGAGAGGUGUCGAAACAAGUCUAGUUAUCAAUAACCUCACAGUAAGAUAUGACACCAACGUAAGUAAGGUAAAUUGUAGAUAAUUAGCUGAGCAGAUAAUUAUGAGUUAAGCUUCUCGUCCUUUCAUGUUUUGCCAUUGAUUCAAUGGUAGCAAAUAAUGAUGAAUAAUGAAUUACUGAAGCAGAACUUGUGACAUACCUUUGACAGUUCUUUAUUGAUUGCAUUUACAUUACAUUGCAUUACAGGCAUUUAGCAGACGCUCUUAUCCAGAGCGACUUACACAACUUUUUACAUAGCAUUUUUUAACAUUUUUGUAUCCAUUUAUACAGCUGGAUAUAUACUGAAGCAAUUCCGGUUAAGUACCUUGCUCAAGGGUACAACAGCAGUGUCCUUACCCGGGAAUCGAACCUGUGACCUUUCGGUUAUGAGCCCAGUUCCUUACCCACUGUGCUACACUCCGUCCAGCUUAAAGACAAAAGAGGCCCAUAACAUUGUAUAAAUUAUGAUAUUCUCAUCAAAUGAUGAGUAUCCUUUUUUGACAGUUGCAUGGCUUGCAAAUAGAAGUGGGUGUGAAAA